GCCUCCUUGAUCCCUUAUUAAAAGGUAUCUCUGUGACAAUGCACAUCACCUAUGCUAAGAUGAGUAUAUUAAAUCACUAUUGCAUUCUGGGUCAAUUCAUAAGAUCAUCUUUUUCACAGGAGUAGCUUAAGUGGUCUGGGUACUGACGCUGAACCAUUUCCAAUAAAGUAGGAAGAGAUAUGAAGACUCAAAUACAGGACCCACACCCCAGCCAGGAGAAUUUCCUUUACUCAUGAAUUUGCUGCCAUCCGUUUUGUUUCGGACUAAAUCUGAAGGGCCAAGCUGGAACACAGAGGCAAACAGGAGCUCAGACUCUUCUGAGAGACGUUGCUGCCCAGCCAUGAUUACUCAUGCUCCUUUAGUCAUUCGCCUUGCCCGCAGGACAUAGUGAUCAAUAAAGCAAUAUAACCAC
rnacentral:lncRNA from 1 species